rnacentral:misc_RNA from 1 species
AACUUUUAACAACGGAUCUCUUGGCUCUCGCAUCGAUGAAGAACGCAGCGAAAUGCGAUAAGUAAUGUGAAUUGAAGAAUUCAGUGAAUCAUCGAAUCUUUGAACGCACCUUGCGCCCUUUGGUUAUUCCGAAGGGCAUGCCUGUUUGAGUAUCGUGAACACCUCAACUCUCACGGUUUGCCGUGAUGAGCUUGGAUUUUGGGGGUCUUGCUGGCCUAUGGUCGGCUCCUCUCAAAUGAAUCAGCUUGCCAGUGUUUGGUGGCAUCACAGGUGUGAUAACUAUCUAUGCUUGUGGUUUUCCACCAGGUAACCUCCAGCAAUGGAGGUUCGCUGGAGCUCAUAAAUGUCCCUCCUCAGCGAGGACAGCUUUUGAACGUUUGAUCUCAAAUCAGGUAGGACUUCCCGCUGAACUUAAGCAUAUCAAUAAGCGGAGGCU